CAGCAGCCGCGGUAAUACGUAGGGUGCGAGCGUUAAUCGGAUUUACUGGGCGUAAAGCGUGCGCAGGCGGCCCGUUAAGACAGGUGUGAAAUCCCUGGGCUCAACCUAGGAAUUGCGCUUGUGACUGGCGGGCUCGAGUACGGUAGAGGGGGGUGGAAUUCCUGGUGUAGCAGUGAAAUGCGUAGAGAUCAGGAGGAACACCGAUGGCGAAGGCAGCCCCCUGGGCCUGUACUGACGCUCAUGCACGAAAGCGUGGGGAGCAAACAGGAUUAGAUACCCUGGUAGUCCACGCCCUAAACGAUGGGUACUAGCCGUUUGGUGCGCGAUAGCGCUGAGUGGCGAAGCUAACGCAUUAAGUGCCCCGCCUGGGGAGUACGGCCGCAAGGUUGAAACUUAAAGGAAUUGGCGGG
rnacentral:rRNA from 1 species